rnacentral:tRNA from 1 species
CUAUUAAUAUACACUGUAUAUUUGACUUCCAAUCAAAAAGACUAAUCUAUUUUAGAUAGA